rnacentral:ncRNA from 1 species
UGCCGCCGCACAGCCGGCUUAUGCUGUGCAACCUCCCUGUUGGACUAGCCCGGGCACUGCCCGGGUUCUUUU